GAUGAACGCUGGCGGCGUGCUUAACACAUGCAAGUCGAACGAUGAAGCCCAGCUUGCUGGGUGGAUUAGUGGCGAACGGGUGAGUAACACGUGAGUAACCUGCCCUUGACUCUGGGAUAAGCCUGGGAAACUGGGUCUAAUACCGGAUACGACCAUUGCCCGCAUGGGUUGGUGGUGGAAAGCUUUUGUGGUUUUGGAUGGACUCGCGGCCUAUCAGCUUGUUGGUGAGGUAAUGGCUCACCAAGGCGACGACGGGUAGCCGGCCUGAGAGGGUGACCGGCCACACUGGGACUGAGACACGGCCCAGACUCCUACGGGAGGCAGCAGUGGGGAAUAUUGCACAAGGGGCGAAGGCCUGAUGCAGCGACGCCGCGUGAGGGAUGACGGCCUUCGGGUUGUAAACCUCUUUCAGUAGGGAAGAAGCGAGAGUGACGGUACCUGCAGAAGAAGCGCCGGCUAACUACGUG
rnacentral:rRNA from 1 species